GACGAACGCUGGCGGCGUGCUUAACACAUGCAAGUCGAACGGAAAGGCCUCUUUCGGGGGGUACUCGAGUGGCGAACGGGUGAGUAACACGUGGGUAACCUGCCCUUGACUUUGGGAUAACUUCAGGAAACUGGGGCUAAUACCGGAUAGGAGCUCCUGCUGCAUGGUGGGGGUUGGAAAGUUUCGGCGGUUGGGGAUGGACUCGCGGCUUACCAGCUUGUUGGUGGGGUAGUGGCUUACCAAGGCUUUGACGGGUAGCCGGCCUGAGAGGGUGACCGGCCACAUUGGGACUGAGAUACGGCCCAGACUCCUACGGGAGGCAGCAGUGGGGAAUAUUGCACAAUGGGUGGAAGCCUGAUGCAGCAACGCCGUGUGCGGGAUGACGGCCUUCGGGUUGUAAACCGCUUUCGCUCAUGACGAAGCUUUGUGUGACGGUAGUGGGUAAAGAAGCACCGGCUAACUACGUG
rnacentral:rRNA from 1 species